rnacentral:rRNA from 1 species
UUUCGAGAAGCACUUUCUAGGCGGAUCUCCGUCGUCUAAGUUGCUUGGAACAGCACGUCAUAGAGGGUGACAACCCCGUCUGGGACGAAGGAGGCCGCUGACGAUGUGUUUUCGAAGAGUCGGGUUGUUUGGGAAUGCAGCCCAAAAUGGGUGGUAAACUCCAUCUAAAGCUAAAUAUAGGCACGAGACCGAUAGCGAACAAGUACCGUGAGGGAAAGAUGAAAAGAACUUUGAAAAGAGAGUUAAAAAGUACGUGAAACCGUUAAAAGGGAAACGAAUGGAGUUAGCAAUGCACCCUGCAAGAUUCAGCCGGCAGGUGGUGCGGACGGGCGGUUGGCGGAUCUGCAUGGACCGCCGCCGUUCGGCUCGCGCUCCCCGCCGUCGCACUUCUUGCGAGUGCGCGUCAACGUCGGUUCGGCGCCGGUGUCAAAAGCUGGCGGGAAGGUAGGUCMUUGACUUCGGUCGGCGACUGUUAUAGCCCGUCUUCUGAUGGCCGGAGCCGGACCGAGGCGUCGCAGCGCAUGCCUCUUUUGGCUAGGGUCCCUCGCGGCCGGUCGGUUGUCGACCGUGGUGGACUGCUCGCAGUGCACCCGAACUGCUGCCGGUCGCUCGCGAGGUGACUUCGUACAAUGCGCUCAGGACGUUGGCGGUCAUAUGGCUUCAUCCGACCCGUCUUGAAACACGGACCAAGGAGUCUAGCCUGUGCGCGAGUCUUUGGGUGACAGAAACCCCCGGGCGCAAUGAAAGUGAAAGCGGUCUCGGCCGCCGAGGUGUAAACCCUUCCCCUGCGGAGGGGCGCAUCAUUGACCGAUCUAUUCUACUCUUAGGAAGA